AGCUUUGCACAGUAGCUGUAUCGCAGUAUAUGAGAUUUGGCCCGAGGCGCGAUUAUUGCUAGUUGAAUACUAAUGAUGAUGUAUUGUGAGCAGUUUCCCCAAAGCCCAGGGCUGAUAUCCUGUUCUCUGGAACAUCAUGGUCGUCACGGUUAUCCGAGUGA
rnacentral:snRNA from 1 species